rnacentral:lncRNA from 1 species
CCUCUUCAUAUUACUCGGUUAUGGAAGCCAGACAUUAAGGAGACUUGUAAAACUAGGAAAAUGAGUUUCAGAGAGAUGAAUUGACAAUCCAAGGACACAAAGACCUGAAUAAGGUGGACAGUAACCUAAAAUAUACCAAGGAUUGAACUCAGGACAUGCCAGCCAGGUGUGGCACUGCUGACCUACAUCCCUGAGCCUCAAAGCCUACAUUCUUAACUGCUACACUGUGCUGCCAGCAUAGGAUCUGAGUUUUUGCUAUUCCCUCCUUACACCUGUCAUUUACCAGAGAAACCGGUAUUUACACAUGUGUGUGGGGGGGGCCUUGCCCCCCCGCUAGAACUCUUGAGUGCCUUUUACGGACAUAUCCGGGCCUGCUGCAAAUCUACCCGGCAACAAGGAAGUAGCCCCAGUACCCUCCUCUUGCUCCUCCCCUCUAGCCCUACGGUAUAUAUGUUGUAACAGCUUCUGCAAUAAACGAGACUUGAUCAGAAACCUGUCUUGUCUCCAUCUCUCGUGUCCCCUGUCCCCUCUCAUCCUCGCUCCCCCUCUAG